AUGCAGCCAUGCCGCGUGUGUGAAGAAGGCCUUCGGGUUGUAAAGCACUUUCAGUCGUGAGGAAGGUGGUGUAGUUAAUAGCUGCAUUAUUUGACGUUAGCGACAGAAGAAGCACCGGCUAACUCCGUGCCAGCAGCCGCGGUAAUACGGAGGGUGCGAGCGUUAAUCGGAAUUACUGGGCGUAAAGCGCAUGCAGGUGGUUUGUUAAGUCAGAUGUGAAAGCCCGGGGCUCAACCUCGGAAUAGCAUUUGAAACUGGCAGACUAGAGUACUGUAGAGGGGGGUAGAAUUUCAGGUGUAGCGGUGAAAUGCGUAGAGAUCUGAAGGAAUACCGGUGGCGAAGGCGGCCCCCUGGACAGAUACUGACACUCAGAUGCGAAAGCGUGGGGAGCAAACAGGAUUAGAUACCCUGGUAGUCCACGCCGUAUACGAUGUCUACUUGGAGGUUGUGGCCUUGAGCCGUGGCUUUCGGAGCUAACGCGUGAAGUAGACCGCCUGGGGAGUACGUCGCAAGAUUAAACUCAGAGGAGUCGACGGGGCCCGCACAAGCGUGAGCAUGUGGUUUAAUUCGAUGCACGCAAAACCUUACUACUCUUGACUCAAAGAACUUGCGAAUUGAUUGGUGCCUUCGGUACUCUGAAGAAGUCUGCAUGCUGUCCUCACUCGUGUGGAAUGUGGUAAGUCCGCACGAGCCAGCC
rnacentral:rRNA from 1 species